rnacentral:rRNA from 1 species
GAUGAACGCUGGCGGCGUGCCUAAUACAUGCAAGUCGAGCGAACGGACGAGAAGCUUUCUUCUCUGAUGUUAGCGGCGGACGGGUGAGUAACACGUGGAUAACCUACCUAUAUGACUUGGAUAACUUCGGGAAACCGUAUCUAAUACCGGCUAAUAUUUUGAACCGCAUGGUUCAAAAGUUAAAGACGGUCUUGCUUUCACUUAUAGAUGGAUCCGCGCUGCAUUAGCUAGUUGGUAAGGUAACGGCUUACCAAGGCAACGAUGCAUAGCCGACCUGAGAGGGUGAUCGGCCACACUGGAACUGAGACACGGUCCAGACUCCUACGGGAGGCAGCAGUAGGGAAUCUUCCGCAAUGGGCGAAAGCCUGACGGAGCAACGCCGCGUGAGUGAUGAAGGUCUUCGGAUCGUAAAACUCUGUUAUUAGGGAAGAACAUAUGUGUAAGUAACUGUGCACAUCUUGACGGUACCUAAUCAGAAAGCCACGGCUAACUACGUG